UCAGCCCAAAAUCAAAACCAGAAUCUAAAAAAAUCCCCAAACAACAACGACCUCCUCAAAUCACAAGCCCACCAGGCAACGAAAAAGCCUCAAAGCGGAGGGCACUCGGGAGGGGGCCGGUGCGGUGCGGCGUCACUGCCCGGCCUGAUCUCUCGUGCACCUUUGGGCUACACCGCGCUCUGCCACCACCGGCUGAGGCACCACGCACGCCUGCGCUGGCCGGGACCCCCCGGUGACCCCGGCGCGACUGCGCCCGGCCCGGCCGGCAGGUGCGCGGCGACAGCCGGCUUCGAGGCCCACCGCUCCAGAGAAGAGUGGAAAGAGAUACUGUCAGCCCCACUGCAAACUUUCCAGUGCAAUAUAUAUUCUCCUUUUCCACUCAGCUGUCCUGACGACUACUGAUGGCUCAAAUGCAACCAGCAGCUUUUGAAUCUCGCUGUUGCCAUGAAGCUGUGUGUUUCUGAACUGCUGGGUGGAGCCUGCCUGUGAAGGUACAGCACCCUGCUCUUUUGGGAGGCUGUGGGUGUGUGGAAGGGAGCAGAAGAGACCCUGGGCAAGGAAUGCUUUGGAAUGCCAGCCUUCCUGGCUGUGAUGGGAGCGAGGUUCAAUGGCAUCUUUCAGGGAUGAGGGCUAGGUGCAUCUAGGGGCUUUCAGGGAACCUAGAGAGAAUGCCAUGCCUACGGAGAAAUGCGAGGAAAUCUCCAUCACUAGCAGAAAUGCUCAGGACAGAGAAAUGAAAGCUGCAUAUGGAAACUGAAAAAAUAUUUUUCAUAUCCAGGAAUGGUCCCAGAAGAAGACUCACAAAACCAUCUGAAGGGAUUUUUUUUAACAAAAUGUACCUUGUACUUUAAUUCUUAAAAUCUUAAAUCUGAAAACAGAGAAGUCUCAGUGACUUUUACCAGAGGGCUUUGACUGAUAUAGUGUGCUAAAAAUUUCUAUUGGGAAGAAGCAUAAAGUAAGUAUAACAGUGUGUUUAUUUCAGUGGGACCUGGCAUGAAAGUCAGUCAGUGGCUACAGCAUCAUUGCUGACACUCCUGAGAUCUAAAAAAGGGACCACCAAUAUAGGUCAUUAGCUAAGGUUAAGCAGGGUUAACCCUGACCUUUCUCCAGCCUCCAAAGAGGCAUCUCUUAAGCAAAUAAAAACCACAGUUAUUAAAGAACUCUUGAACAACUACAAUAACAAAACAGAGUGAAAUGGAGUCAAAACUGCAGAUCUGUUUUGUUUGAAGCAUAAUAUUUAUAUUUGACAGAUACUGAAAGGCAGCAGAACUAGUUUUAAGGACCAUCUCUCUACCUAGAUAGGAGAGGCAUACUUUGAAAGCAUUCUGUGUUUUGAACGACAGUGAGACAUGAAUUUAAGUUUUCCAAAAAAGAGUAUUUUAAUUCCUAGAGCUUGGAAACUCCUAUCUGCUUAAUAAAGAAAAAUAUUGGACAUACUCAACGUUCUGUUAGUGUUACAGGUGGAGCCUGAAAUGCUAAAAGGCUGUUCAAAGCAUCACUUAAGUCUGAUCUAGUUCAGCAUUAGUCUCACAUUAUCUUUCCCACCCUCAAUGGUUUCAAGAUCUAUAAAACCAGACUUGAGCUGAUGUUUACUUUUACAGCUAAUGGUUCCUCAAAUCUGAAAGAACUUCUAAGGAGUAGAUAAAAGCAGCUGCAAAAGUGAUCUAGAAAUAAACAUCCAGAAGAAAGCAUAACUGCAAUCAAAGUUCCAGCUGUUCUCAUCUCAAUUUUUUAUCAGUAUUCUUUUUAAUCAGGCACAUUUUGAAGUCAAAGGCUUAUUUCCAACAGCUUUUGUCCAUAUAUAUAUAUAUACACAUAUAUAUAUGUAUGUAAGCUCCUUGAAAUAUUACAGAAGUUCUGUUUCACAUCAAAAUACUGUACAUUGUCACUGAAACUAUUAAUUUUCUUUUCCUCAUCCCCCAGGUUCUCUCUGGGCCCCUCUUUUGCAUCUGGCAUGUGUACUGAUACUCAAGAUGACAAAUACUGAUAACUGCAAAGCUGCAAUGCUGCAUACCUCCAUAAGGCAAAGCUUAGCCAAAGUUAGUCAUUGAUUUAUGUCCUAUAUUCUGUUCAACAGCAUAAGGGGGUUCUUUUCUAAUUCCAUACCUUUAAUCAUUGCCACCUCCAACCUAGUGUGUGUCGAAUUUCCACCUUAUUGUUGCAGCUGUGGUUUCUUAAAGUGCAAGUAUGCUUCUUGAAUGCAGUGACACAUUCUUCAGUUUAUUCACAGAUUU
rnacentral:lncRNA from 1 species